AGAGUUUGAUUAUGGCUCAGGAUGAACGCUGGCGGCGCGCAUAACACAUGCAAGUCGAACGGAGUCACGUUGAAACCUAGUGAUAUGUGACUUAGUGGCGGACGGGUGAGUAACGCGUGGGUAACCUACCUGAUAUUGGGGGACAACAGUUAGAAAUGACUGCUAAUACCGCAUACGACAUUCGGAGGGCAUCCUCUGAAUGGGAAAGGAAUUAUCCGAUACCAGAUGGACCCGCGUCUGAUUAGCUAGUUGGUGAGGUAACGGCCCACCAAGGCGACGAUCAGUAGCCGAACUGAGAGGUUGACCGGCCACAUUGGGACUGAGACACGGCCCAAACUCCUACGGGAGGCAGCAGUGGGGAAUAUUGCACAAUGGGGGGAACCCUGAUGCCAGCGACGCCGCGUGAGUGAUGAAGUAUUUCGGUAUGUAAAGCUCUAUCGAUGGGGAAGAAAAUGACGGUACCCAAGUAAGAAGCCCCGGCUAACUACGUGCCAGCCGCAGC
rnacentral:rRNA from 1 species